rnacentral:rRNA from 1 species
GUGGGGAAUAUUGGACAAUGGGCGCAAGCCUGAUCCAGCCAUGCCGCGUGAGUGAUGAAGGCCCUAGGGUUGUAAAGCUCUUUCACCGAUGAAGAUAAUGACGGUAGUCGGAGAAGAAGCCCCGGCUAACUUCGUGCCAGCAGCCGCGGUAAUACGAAGGGGGCUAGCGUUGUUCGGAAUUACUGGGCGUAAAGCGCACGUAGGCGGAUAUUUAAGUCAGGGGUGAAAUCCCGGGGCUCAACCCCGGAACUGCCUUUGAUACUGGGUAUCUCGAGUAUGGAAGAGGUGAGUGGAAUUCCGAGUGUAGAGGUGAAAUUCGUAGAUAUUCGGAGGAACACCAGUGGCGAAGGCGGCUCACUGGUCCAUUACUGACGCUGAGGUGCGAAAGCGUGGGGAGCAAACAGGAUUAGAAACCCGAGUAGUCC